rnacentral:tRNA from 4 species
UGGGGUGUAGCCAAGCGGUAAGGCACUAGACUCUGACUCUGGCAUUCGCAGGUUCGAAUCCUGCCACUCUAGCCA